rnacentral:rRNA from 1 species
AGACAGCAGCAGCCGCGGGAAUACGUAGGUGGCAAGCGUUGUCCGGAAUUAUUGGGCGUAAAGGGCUCGCAGGCGGUUUCUUAAGUCUGAUGUGAAAGCCCCCGGCUCAACCGGGGAGGGUCAUUGGAAACUGGGAAACUCGAGUGCAGAAGAGGAGAGUGGAAUUCCACGUGUAGCGGUGAAAUGCGUAGAGAUGUGGAGGAACACCAGUGGCGAAGGCGACUCUCUGGUCUGUAACUGACGCUGAGGAGCGAAAGCGUGGGGAGCGAACAGGAUUAGAUACCCCGGUAGUCCCUGUCUCUUAUAC